rnacentral:rRNA from 1 species
CCUACUGGAGGCAGCAGUGAGGAAUAUUGGUCAAUGGUCGGGAGACUGAACCAGCCAAGCCGCGUGAGGGAGGAAGGUACAGAGUAUCGUAAACCUCUUUUGUCAGGGAACAAAGACUGGGACGCGUCCCCGGAUGAGUGUACCUGAAGAAAAAGCAUCGGCUAACUCCGUGCCAUCAGCCGCGGUAAUACGGGGGAUGCGAGCGUUAUCCGGAUUUGUUGGGUUUAAGGGGUGAGAAGGGGGUUGGUUAAGUCAGCGGUAAAAGACCGGGGCUCAACCCCGGCCCGCCGUUGAAACUGGCAGUCUCGAGUGGAGGAGAGGUAUGCGGAAUGCGCGGUGUAGCGGUGAAAUGCAUAGAUAUCGCGCAGAACUCCGAUUGCGAAGGCAGCAUGCCGGCUCCACACUGACGCUGAGGCACGAAAGCGUGGGUAUCGAACAGGAUUAGAUACCCUAGUAGUC